rnacentral:rRNA from 1 species
UACGAAGGGGGCUAGCGUUGUUCGGAAUUACUGGGCGUAAAGCGCACGUAGGCGGAUAUUUAAGUCAGGGGUGAAAUCCCAGAGCUCAACUCUGGAACUGCCUUUGAUACUGGGUAUCUUGAGUAUGGAAGAGGUGAGUGGAAUUCCGAGUGUAGAGGUGAAAUUCGUAGAUAUUCGGAAGAACACCAGUGGCGAAGGCGACUUACUGGACACAUAUUGACGCUGAGGUGCGAAAGCGUGGGGAGCAAACAGG